AGCCGCUGGUAUAGUUAGUUCAAAUUUAAAAAAAAUCAAUUUUUGGUGAAAAAUUCGAUACGGGGGGGUAUACCCUGAAAAUGAAAAAUCUCAAAUUUUGGAGGUCCAUAUCUCGGCUUCUAUGGGCCCUAUCGGGAAAAUUCCAACGGUUUUGUCUUAGUUUCGUCGUCCUGAAUCCAACGAGACCAUCCGCAAGGUCGUACCUCCCAUAUUAGCUGAGAUCUGGCAUUUUUGUGGCCCAUUUUUGGGCUCAAAAACGGGGUCGACAAUUGACUUUUUUCUGAAUUUUCAAAGUGCUAUAAUUCCACCUGUUCUGGUCGAAUUCUGUUAUAAUCCGGUGUUUUCGUAAUGUGGGUGAUGGGAAUAAGCCGCUGAUAGAGGUUUCUAUAGCUAUUUUCGGGUUUAAAGAAAAUCGAUUUUUCGCAUUUUUAAAGUGCUAUAAUUCCCUUAGUUUUUCUCAAAACUCAUUAUAACCCGGUGUUUUCGUGUUGUAGGUGAUGGGAACAAGCCGCUGGUAUAGUUAGUUCAAAUUUAAAAAAAAUCAAUUUUUGGUGAAAAAUUCGAUACGGGGGGGUAUACCCUGAAAAUGAAAAAUCUCAAACUUUGGAGGUCCAUAUCUCGGCUUCUAUGGGCCCUAUCGGGAAAAUUCCAACGGUUUUGUCUUAGUUUCGUCGUCCUGAAUCCAACGAGACCAUCCGCAAGGUCGUAGCUCCCAUAUUAGCUGAGAUCUCGCAUUUUUGUGGCCCAUUUUUGGGCUCAAAAACGGGGUCGAAAAUUGACUUUUUUCCGAAUUUUCAAAGUGCUAUAAUUCCACCUGUUCUGGUCGAAUUCUGUUAUAAUCCGGUGUUUUCGUAAUGUGGGUGAUGGAAAUAAGCCGCUGAUAGAGGUUUCUAUAGCUAUUUUCGGGUAUAAAGAAAAUCGAUUUUUCGCAUUUUCAAAGUGCUAUAAUUCCCUUAGUUUUUCUCAAAACUCAUUAUAACCCGGUGUUUUCGUGUUGUAGGUGAUGGGAACAAGCCGCUGGUAUAGUUAGUUCAAAUUUAAAAAAAAAUCAAUUUUUGGUGAAAAAUUCGAUACGGGGGGUAUACCCUGAAAAUGAAAAAUCUCAAACUUUGGAGGUCCAUAUCUCGGCUUCUAUGGGCCCUAUCGGGAAAAUUCCAACGGUUUUGUCUUGGUUUUGUCGUCCUGAAUCCAACGAGACCAUCCGCAAGGUCGUAGCUCCCAUAUUAGCUGAGAUCUCGCAUUUUUGUGGCCCAUUUUUGGGCUCAAAAACGGGGUCGAAAAUUGACUUUUUUCCGAAUUUUCAAAGUGCUAUAAUUCCACCUUUUCUGGUCGAAUUCUGUUAUAAUCCGGUGUUUUCGUAAUGUAAGUGAUGGAAAUAAGCCGCUGAUAGAGGUUUCUAUAGCUAUUUUCGGGUAUAAAGAAAAUCGAUUUUUCGCAUUUUCAAAGUGCUAUAAUUCCCUUAGUUUUUCUCAAAACUCAUUAUAACCCGGUGUUUUCGUGUUGUAGGUGAUGGGAACAAGCCGCUGGUAUAGUUAGUUCAAAUUUAAAAAAAAUCAAUUUUUGGUGAAAAAUUCGAUACGGGGGGGUAUACCCUGAAAAUGAAAAAUCUCAAACUUUGGAGGUCCAUAUCUCGGCUUCUAUGGGCCCUAUCGGGAAAAUUCCAACGGUUUUGACUUAGUUUCGUCGUCCUGAAUCCAACGAGACCAUCCGCAAGGUCGUAGCUCCCAUAUUAGCUGAGAUCUCGCAUUUUUGUGGCCCAUUUUUGGGCUCAAAAACGGGGUCGAAAAUUGACUUUUUUCCGAAUUUUCAAAGUGCUAUAAUUCCACCUUUUCUGGUCGAAUUCUGUUAUAAUCCGGUGUUUUCGUAAUGUAAGUGAUGGAAAUAAGCCGCUGAUAGAGGUUUCUAUAGCUAUUUUCGGGUAUAAAGAAAAUCGAUUUUUCGCAUUUUCAAAGUGCUAUAAUUCCCUUAGUUUUUCUCAAAACUCAUUAUAACCCGGUGUUUUCGUGUUGUAGGUGAUGGGAACAAGCCGCUGGUAUAGUUAGUUCAAAUUUAAAAAAAAUCAAUUUUUGGUGAAAAAUUCGAUACGGGGGGGUAUACCCUGAAAAUGAAAAAUCUCAAACUUUGGAGGUCCAUAUCUCGGCUUCUAUGGGCCCUAUCGGGAAAAUUCCAACGGUUUUGUCUUAGUUUCGUCGUCCUGAAUCCAACGAGACCAUCCGCAAGGUCGUAGCUCCCAUAUUAGCUGAGAUCUGGCAUUUUUGUGGCCCAUUUUUGGGCUCAAAAACGGGGUCGAAAAUUGACUUUUUUCCGAAUUUUCAAAGUGCUAUAAUUCCACCUGUUCUGGUCGAAUUCUGUUAUAAUCCGGUGUUUUCGUAAUGUGGGUGAUGGGAAUAAGCCGCUGAUAGAGGUUUCUAUAGCUAUUUUCGGGUUUAAAGAAAAUCGAUUUUUCGCAUUUUCAAAGUGCUAUAAUUCCCUUAGUUUUUCUCAAAACUCAUUAUAACCCGGUGUUUUCGUGUUGUAGGUGAUGGGAACAAGCCGCUGGUAUAGUUAGUUCAAAUUUUAAAAAAAUCAAUUUUUGGUGAAAAAUUCGAUACGGGGGGGUAUACCCUGAAAAUGAAAAAUCUCAAACUUUGGAGGUCCAUAUCUCGGCUUCUAUGGGCCCUAUCGGGAAAAUUCCAACGGUUUUGUCUUAGUUUCGUCGUCCUGAAUCCAACGAGACCAUCCGCAAGGUCGUAGCUCCCAUAUUAGCUGAGAUCUGGCAUUUUUGUGGCCCAUUUUUGGGCUCAA